GCAUUGGUGGUUCAGUGGUAGAAUCCUCGCCUGCCACGCGGGGGGCCCGGGUUCGAUUCCAGGCCAAUGCA
rnacentral:tRNA from 1 species